rnacentral:lncRNA from 1 species
GCCCGCCUCCCUCGGGCUCGGCCUUCUCUGCAGAAGCCCCGGCCCCGGGCAGGGAGGUGCGAGGGGAGCCUGGGCAGGUUGGGCAGACUCCCUGGUCAUGGCCACAACCCCCUUUUCCUCAGGGAGAAGCCUGAGUAACCCGGAUGGACCGGAAGCGAUCUCCUUCCCCUCCUGGGGACCGGCAGCCAGGCGGGGGCCCCGCUCACCCCGGUGGCUCCUCGGGGACCCCUCCUGCCCCCAGUUCUGGGGACAGGAAAAUCCUGAGUCCCGGCCCCAUCUCGAGUCAACUCCCCAUCCCCUUGAUCCAGUCUGGGGCCAAAGUUAGGCCCUGGUCCUUGGGCUCCAGGGAGCCGGGCACCGCCAGGGGGGCUCUCCUUCGGCCCACGGGCAGCCCCGCGCCCAGGAAGUCCAGCUCCCUGUCCUUCACCCUCCGCCACCACAGCCGCCAGGAGGCCGCGGCUGCCUCGGGAGCUCACCCUCAGCAGGAGGUGGCUGUUAGAGAUAGGAGGGAGGCUGCCCAGGGGAGAGGGGAGUCUUCCAUCGUGGGCCCCUCCCCUGCAUCUCGGGUGCCUGUCAUAAGGGCCCGCACCGUGAGUCCCUCACACCCCAGCAGGCUCACGGGGGCCCCCGCUUCGGAGAAGCCCCUGUUGACCUCACAUCUGGCCCUUUCUUUCCAGCCACGCUCAUCUCAGAGCCCAUCAAGCCCGCCCGGCAUAGGGCUCCCAUUCCGGUACACUUCCCGGAUACCCAGCCCAGGCUCCCUAGGGAGGGGGGGCACCCGGCACCUGGGCAUCCCCAGGCUCCGGCUGCCAUCUGGAAGGGGCAUCCCGGCCCGGGGGCUAUUCAAGGCAGGAAGGCUCACACUGAUCAGGCCAGGCAGGGGCAACGACUUGUCCGUUACACCGGGGACGCCCACCGAUCCAGCCCCAGCCACGUUAAGUACCGCCAUGGAUCCGGCCAUGGGCCCAGUCGGCUCAAAUGUAGAACCGGGCCCCAUGGAGUCUGAAGCGGCCACUGCAGCCGUGGCCACAGUCACGGAGCUAGCUCCCCAGCCUGCAGCCGUGGCCGAAGAGCAUGGGGUCCCACCCCCAACCAUGGCCGAAGAGCACAGGGUGCCAGCUGUGGCUGAGGAGCACGGAGUCCCCCCCGCAGCCGUGGCCAAAGAGCACGGGGUACCAGCUAUGGCCGAGGAGCACGGGGUCCCACCCUUGACUGUGGCUGAAAAGGAAGGGGUCCCACCCGUGGCCAUGACCAAAGUGGACAAGGUGCCCCCUGUGGCUGUGGCCGAAGAGCACGGAGUCUCCCCCGCAGCUGUGGCCAAGGAGCACGGGGUCCCACCCUUGGCUGUAGCUGAAAAGGAAGGGGUCCCACCCGUGGCCAUGACCAAAGUGGACGAGGUCCUCCCUGUGGCUAUGGCCAAAGAGCAUGGGGUCCCACCCACGGCUAUGAUCAAAGAGGAAGGGCUCCCACCUGUGGCUAUGGUUGAAGAGCACGGGAUCCCACCCAUGGCUGUGGUCGAAGAGAAUGUGGUCUCACCUAUAGCUGUGGCCGAAGAGCAUGGGGUCCCACCUGUGGCGGUGAGCAAAGUGGAUGAGGUCCCCCCCAUGGUCGUGGCCGAAGAGCACGGGGUCCCCCCCAUGGCUGUGGUUGAAGAGGAUGGGGUCCCCCCCAUGACUGUGGCUGAAGUGGACAAGGUCCCACCCUCGGCCAUGGUCGAAGAGCACGGGGUCCCACCUACGGCCGGGGCCAAAGAAGACAGGUUCCCGUCCAGGAGGGUCACAGUCAGCGAUUCUGAAGUGCCACCCACAGCCUCGGCCCCAGAGGAUCAGGACACGGCGAGACCCUGCCCCGGGCCGGAGCCAGCCCCCCACCCAGCCAUAGACCUCACCCUGCACAUCCCACACACCCACACAGCCACAGUUGUGGUUGCCAUAGGCCGGGCCCAAGCCUUGCCAGCCUUGGCCUCGGCAGCCCCGGUCCCGCCUCCGUCCGGCAGCACCACGGUCCGGCCAGGCGGGGUUCUGUCUGCACCGAGGCCACUCCCGGGCCUGGCCCACGCCGUUCCCAGGCCGGACAGAAGCGCCCACCCCGGCAAGCUGGAAGCCCCAUCAGCCGGAGACGCGCCGUGCACCGCGAUGGUGCUGGCCUCGUCCCACACCAUCCUGACCCUGCCCUCCAAAGGCGCCAGGGUUGUCUUCAUGGUGCCGGGCCUGGACGCAUCCUCAGGCUUGCCAGGGAUGCCCACGCCCAGGCCCAGACAAGCCCAGCCCUGCACGGCCAUGGUCUUGGUCAGCCCCCGGAAGGCCGGGCCACACAGAGCCACCGCCCCCCACCUAGUGGAGAGUGUCAAGGCCGCAGCUGCACCCAGGAAGGCCUUCCGGCCCCCGGUGCCGGCCAUCCACCCCCCUUUGCCGGCCUUCCACCCCCCGGUGCCGGUCCUCCUCCCAGUCAUGGCUGACACCGGCCCCCGCAUGUGCACCUCGGCUAGCCCGGAGCCCAAGGAGGAAGCCGAGGCCACUCCCCACACUUGGGCUACCUACACAGCCGCCGACCUGGACGCCCUGGACCUGGCAGUGACCCAUAGAGGGUUCCGGACGGUGCGAAACGAGUUGCGCAUGAAGGCGGAGGGGUUCCCUUUGAGGCUCAGACGGGGUGAGUUCAGGACCCCCCUCUGGGGUCCUCCUUUGAGUGCGGGGGAGCUGUCUGGGAAGGGAGGGAGCUCCCCAUCCCGGGAGCUAUUUGGGCCGGGGCUGCGUGGCCUCCUCCCCAGGAGGCUCAGAGGACACCCAGACUGGGGUGGGGGUGGGGGCAACAUGGUCCUGCCCCCCACUCCUCCCAGCGGUCCCAAGGGCCUGCUCUGGGAGCCUCCUUAACCCAGGAGGCUUGGGCCAGGACAAGGGGGACUCAGGGAAGCCUGUGGCCUCUGAGGUCGUGCUCAGACCACCUGGGAGCUCUUACUAAGCCUCUCCCCUCCCUUGGCCCAGGUCUGCCUCGGACCUCGGGGGCCAGGAGCCUUGGAGGUGAUGGGGAGGUUAGAGCCGGAAGGGUCCAGCGGAGCUGGGGUCUCCCCAAAGGGGGCCAGCCUCUGGGCCUGGGCAGGGCAGGGGAGGGGGAGGAGGGAUGUGGGGCCCCUCACCCUACAUCAUUGUCUGAGCUGCACAAAAGGGGCUGGAAGCGUCUCUGGGCCCCUUGGCCCCACUUGACAGAUGAGCAGACCGAGGUCGGUCCAGGGGAGAGUCCCGGUCUGGAACUGCCCUACCGCCAGCUGGGAGAGGAGGGCAGGGGGGGUUGGAGGAGCCGGUUUCCG